CCCUUUCACCCUUGAUCCAUUCAUACUGGUAUUUGUCUGGACUGGGGUUCUUAAUCACACGAUCAUCUUGGAUUCACCUGGGCUUUUGAAGCAAUCUUGGCACUGACUUACUUUAUCCCUGAGAGUAUUACUGAAACUAUUUUAAAAGGAUGAUAUUCAGUAUAACGGCUGAAACACAAAAUAGUACAGAUAUUCUAUUAUCUAUAGAUUUAUGGAAACUACUAAACAUGACCUACAAGCAUGCUUCCAAUUA